UCUUUAUGGGGUGACUGCGUACCUUUUGUAUAAUGGGUCAGCGACUUAUAUUCUGUAGCAAGGUUAACCGAAUAGGGGAGCCGAAGGGAAACCGAGUCUUAACUGGGCGUUAAGUUGCAGGGUAUAGACCCGAAACCCGGUGAUCUAGCCAUGGGCAGGUUGAAGGUUGGGUAACACUAACUGGAGGACCGAACCGACUAAUGUUGAAAAAUUAGCGGAUGACUUGUGGCUGGGGGUGAAAGGCCAAUCAAACCGGGAGAUAGCUGGUUCUCCCCGAAAGCUAUUUAGGUAGCGCCUCGUGAAUUCAUCUCCGGGGGUAGAGCACUGUUUCGGCAAGGGGGUCAUCCCGACUUACCAACCCGAUGCAAACUGCGAAUACCGGAGAAUGUUAUCACGGGAGACACACGGCGGGUGCUAACGUCCGUCGUGAAGAGGGAAACAACCCAGACCGCCAGCUAAGGUCCCAAAGUCAUGGUUAAGUGGGAAACGAUGUGGGAAGGCCCAGACAGCCAGGAUGUUGGCUUAGAAGCAGCCAUCAUUUAAAGAAAGCGUAAUAGCUCACUGGUCGAGUCGGCCUGCGCGGAAGAUGUAACGGGGCUAAACCAUGCACCGAAGCUGCGGCAGCGACACUAUGUGUUGUUGGGUAGGGGAGCGUUCUGUAAGCCUGUGAAGGUGUACUGUGAGGUAUGCUGGAGGUAUCAGAAGUGCGAAUGCUGACAUAAGUAACGAUAAAGCGGGUGAAAAGCCCGCUCGCCGGAAGACCAAGGGUUCCUGUCCAACGUUAAUCGGGGCAGGGUGAGUCGAC
rnacentral:rRNA from 1 species